GACGAACGCUGGCGGCGUGCCUAAUACAUGCAAGUCGAGCGCAGGAAGCUGACGGAACUCUUCGGAGGAAAGGUAGUGGAAUGAGCGGCGGACGGGUGAGUAACACGUAAGGAACCUGCCUCAAGGAUUGGGAUAACUCCGAGAAAUCGGAGCUAAUACCGGAUAGUUCAACGGACCGCAUGGUCCGCUGAUGAAAGGCGCUCCGGCGUCACCUUGAGAUGGCCUUGCGGUGCAUUAGCUAGUUGGUGGGGUAACGGCCCACCAAGGCGACGAUGCAUAGCCGACCUGAGAGGGUGAUCGGCCACACUGGGACUGAGACACGGCCCAGACUCCUACGGGAGGCAGCAGUAGGGAAUCUUCCACAAUGGACGAAAGUCUGAUGGAGCAACGCCGCGUGAGUGAUGAAGGUUUUCGGAUCGUAAAACUCUGUUGUAAGGGAAGAACACGUACGAGAGGGAAUGCUCGUACCUUGACGGUACCUUACGAGAAAGCCACGGCUAACUACGUGCCAGCAGCCGCCGUAA
rnacentral:rRNA from 1 species